rnacentral:lncRNA from 7 species
GGAAAACACCUCUACUGCAUGUCAAACAUGUCAGGGACACCUUGCCCCAUGGUUAGUAGGUUAAAAGGCUAAGUCCAGUGAAGCUUUCCUCCUUGCCUUAAGCCCUACCCACAGACCGUUGUAAAGUGUGUGGAGGCCUAUGUUCCAACUGGUGAAAGCCUCUCCCUAGUCUCUAGCCUUGAUCUGAACCAGAGCCGAGCACGCCAGCCCUCUGCGUGGUGACCACGGCCACCAGCUCCUUCACCUCAUAAUGGCCAGAACAUAGUCGCGCCACCGCAAAUCAUCGUCGUGUUUAGUUUCAUAGUCGACCGGCCAACAUACGACUUCCCCGAGCAGUUUCAUGCACCCACCGAGA